rnacentral:rRNA from 1 species
GAUGAACGCUAGCUACAGGCUUAACACAUGCAAGUCGAGGGGCAGCAUGGUCUUAGCUUGCUAAGGCCGAUGGCGACCGGCGCACGGGUGAGUAACACGUAUCCAACCUGCCGUCUACUCUUGGACAGCCUUCUGAAAGGAAGAUUAAUACAAGAUGGCAUCAUGAGUCCACAUGUUCACAUGAUUAAAGGUAUUCCGGUAGACGAUGGGGAUGCGUUCCAUUAGAUAGUAGGCGGGGUAACGGCCCACCUAGUCUUCGAUGGAUAGGGGUUCUGAGAGGAAGGUCCCCCACAUUGGAACUGAGACACGGUCCAAACUCCUACGGGAGGCAGCAGUGAGGAAUAUUGGUCAAUGGGCGAGAGCCUGAACCAGCCAAGUAGCGUGAAGGAUGACUGCCCUAUGGGUUGUAAACUUCUUUUAUAAAGGAAUAAAGUCGGGUAUGCAUACCCGUUUGCAUGUACUUUAUGAAUAAGGAUCGGCUAACUCCGUGCCAGCAGCCGCGGUAAUACGGAGGAUCCGAGCGUUAUCCGGAUUUAUUGGGUUUAAAGGGAGCGUAGAUGGAUGUUUAAGUCAGUUGUGAAAGUUUGCGGCUCAACCGUAAAAUUGCAGUUGAUACUGGAUAUCUUGAGUGCAGUUGAGGCAGGCGGAAUUCGUGGUGUAGCGGUGAAAUGCUUAGAUAUCACGAAGAACUCCGAUUGCGAAGGCAGCCUGCUAAGCUGCAACUGACAUUGAGGCUCGAAAGUGUGGGUAUCAAACAGGAUUAGAUACCCUGGUAGUCCACACGGUAAACGAUGAAUACUCGCUGUUUGCGAUAUACAGCAAGCGGCCAAGCGAAAGCGUUAAGUAUUCCACCUGGGGAGUACGCCGGCAACGGUGAAACUCAAAGGAAUUGACGGGGGCCCACACAAGCGGAGGAACAUGUGGUUUAAUUCGAUGAUACGCGAGGAACCUUACCCGGGCUUAAAUUGCAGAUGAAUUACGGUGAAAGCCGUAAGCCGCAAGGCAUCUGUGAAGGUGCUGCAUGGUUGUCGUCAGCUCGUGCCGUGAGGUGUCGGCUUAAGUGCCAUAACGAGCGCAACCCUUGUUGUCAGUUACUAACAGGUUCUGCUGAGGACUCCGACAAGACUGCCAUCGUAAGAUGUGAGGAAGGUGGGGAUGACGUCAAAUCAGCACGGCCCUUACGUCCGGGGCUACACACGUGUUACAAUGGGGGGUACAGAGGGCCGCUACCACGCGAGUGGAUGCCAAUCCCAAAAACCUCUCUCAGUUCGGACUGGAGUCUGCAACCCGACUCCACGAAGCUGGAUUCGCUAGUAAUCGCGCAUCAGCCACGGCGCGGUGAAUACGUUCCCGGGCCUUGUACACACCGCCCGUCAAGCCAUGGGAGCCGGGGGUACCUGAAGUGCGUAACCGCGAGGAGCGCCCUAGGGUAAAACUGGUGACUGGGGCU